AUUAAAUUAGAAUUGUAGAAGCAAGAGAGAAAAGAGAGAGAAGGAGAGGGGGGAGAGAGAGAACAAUUAAUUCAAUUUUAGUUUUCGCGGUACGAGAACUACUGUGAAUUCAGCGUCGAACAUACUUGUGAGAUAGCCUAAGACGGAGGCUGAUGGAAAACGAUGAUGAGAGAAAGAGAGAGAAGAGGAGGAGGCGAGAGACCCCAGAAAGGCAGUUACCAAACUAACAUCCCCUAUAUUGAUCUUACAUUGGUCUUGCUUCUCUCUUUGUCUCGCCUUCAGUUUGCACGCGUUUCCCGUACACGUGUAUCUGCAGGAACGUAGAAAACUCUCACAGAUCCCCAGGGAUAAACAGACAAUUCGAGUCCAUAAGAGAGAAUUACAACCGAUUAAAGUCAAGAAAUCGUAUUAUUAAAAUAUUUGGGCUACAAAUUUCAAACACGAGACAUUUGAGACUUUGAAGAAUCAUUCUUCAGUAUAAGAUAUCGCUGGCGGCAGCCUUGAGACACAGCGCCCUCCACGUUACCUUUUAAAGUGCGCCAUUUCUUCAAGUCUCUUUUUCCAUUCCCGCUUCGAGCGAAAAAUUCGAGAUAUUCGCCGAGAGAUUGGAGCAAACAACGCCUCGGUCGUCACGUUCGGCGAGCAUCGCGAAGAUUCGCGGCGGUCGAGAAUCAUUCGAAUUAUCGCCAAUCGGGGGUUGCUUCCAACCAUCGGGGGAUGACGCCGCGCGCCGCUGACGCCGCUCCGUGGCGAGGGUCGGAGGCGGCGCCGGCUCCAACCGGAGCAGGAGGAGCGACGUGUGUGUCAGCAGGGCUGCCGCCGCCGCCGCCGCCGCC